rnacentral:lncRNA from 1 species
CGGUGCAGACGGGAAGAAGAGGACGAUGGCGACGAUGCGGCAGUUCCUGGUGUCGAUCUGUGGGCGGAGAAGAUGAGGACGAGCCCGGCGAAGCUGCUGGACUUCCAAGCGCAGCUCGAGGUGACCGGUGGCCGCGUCAAUGGCGACGGCGCUUCGGCGACUGCGUCGGGCGUGAAGAAACGGAGGGGACGAGCGAGAGAGAGCGGCUGAGAUGGAGAGGAGAGAGGGGAUUAGGGUUUGCCAGGGAGUGAGGGGGCUCUUAUCCACAUGAGGAGGCGGCGGAUGCACGACGUGUGGAGGAUCCGCGGCGUGUACGAGCGAACGGCGACCACCGAGGCUUCUGUGAACAGGAGAUUGAAGAUGGCUGCGGGGUGGGCUGGCCGGUUGGGUUGGGAUGGGCCGAGGCCCAUGGGGAGCUGGGGGUUUUCUUUUCUCUCCUUCCCUUUUCUUUUCUUUUACUGACAUUUAAAACAACCACUAUUUGCAAUUAAAUAAGCCAUCAAAUGACUUUGCAAAAUUAUGGAGCUUGGGCAUUUAAUUAUAUUGCAGUAUUUUGUACUGACACAAAAAGUUUGGGAGACAUAGGAGUUCAUUUGAAUCUUUUAUAAUAGGAAAAGUGAUUAAAUUGGCUGAAUUGGUAUUGUUUUAAUUGCUAUAGCCCAUUUAGCAUUGUGAUGAUGUAGUUUUCCUUAAAAAUUAUUUGUUAUGGAUUAGUAGCAACCAUAUCAGUGAAACUUAAAAAUUUCACUUGCAAAUUAAAUUUGAAUUUGAAUUUGAUUUUCAAACAAGCGGAAACUUGCAUAGUAAUCACGAUGACAUGGCCACCAUUAGGGGGAGAUUACUGUAGCAAGAUUCUCGGGGCGUUACAAAUCUCCUCCACUACAAGAAAUCUCGUCCCGAGAUUUAAGUGCGGAAGUAAAGAGUAACUUCGGGAGAACUGACCCUUAUAGGGUUAAUUAUCUGGUGAAGAAUUCAGGGAAUGUGGCAGAAGUAUCUCUCGAGUUGAAACUUAAGAAAACUUCGAGAGCAAAAUAAGAAGGUACAAUAGGAAGUUUCAAGCGAAUGGACAAACGAUCGAUACCUGAACAGAGUGUGAGAAGGGGGUUCAGAGCAUCGGGAAUGGAUCAUCUCUCGGAGGGUGGCUCGUGACAAGAUAUGAAGCCAAGUGUAAAGAAUAUUUCGGCAUCAAGGUUGUACAGGAGAGUCAGGUUUCGACCGUGUGGAACUGUGGGUUAUGGGCCCACUAUGUGGGUAAAAGUAGAAAGGGGGCCGAUAGCAAGGCAUGUCAGAUGAUAGACCGUCAAUUAUGUUGUCAACAACGUUGGUACCAAGGGCGAGGGACGAAGAGAACCAUUCUCCUGCUCGUUGAACGAGGCGGACCAAUAGGCAAAGUUCUCGUCCAUCGGUGGUUAACAGAAUGUUGUCAACGGUAGUAAUAGGGUCUCUUACUGACAGAGUUAUACACCGAGGUGUCUACAUAAGCAGGGAAUUAUUUUUGCUUAGAUCAUAUAGAUCGCAAGAAAGGUUAAACAAGACAAUGGGAAGGAAAAGGUGUUCAAACACAUAUUUCAGGGGGGUAUAUCCUUCCCGAGGACAAGCAAAGCAUGAUAUCCAUGACAUGAUAGAAGUAAAAAAAAAGACCAUCUAGGUAAGGGGAAACGAGUUUCAUGACAUUACCCAUACAACGGUGUUUGGAUAAUUGAUAGAGAAAAUUGAGUAUCGUGCUUCAAAUGUUCUUAUUGAAGAUCAGAUUACCACAGACAUGCUCCGAGAUAGCAUUGACAUGGUUUUCAAGCAAAGGUUAGACUUUGGAUACACAAAGGAUCCAUCGGAAACAACUUAGAAAAUAAGUCAUAAAAUUUAAGCAAGGAAAAGAUGAGGAUGAGGCCGACGGGCUCAGCAACAAACCAUCGACAUGUCAAAAAGAAUGUAUUUCUAAAAUUAUAUGAACAAGUUUGUGUUGGGGAAGGCAAGAAUGUUGUCCAUGAUAACACAAAUCAUCGAGGGCCAAGGAUUGUAUUUCUCAUCAUGAAUUCGAUUGAUAUCCUGGAAGAGCUCAGAAUGUUCAUGAUGAUCACGACAUAUUUGUCGAGAGAUUUCAUGAAGAUGUAGUUCAUCGGCGAUGACAUCAAGUCAAAGGAAUGAUGAAGCGAAAGGUUAUUGGAACCACGGGUACGGCACAAACUCGAAAUCAAGCUUGCUAUUCAAGGCGAAAUGAUAUGACGAGGAAGAUCGACGUAGGCUUAGCUCAUCAUCGAAAAUUGUGCUCUGGGAAGAAGGAUCAGGUAGCACAGUUAAAAUUUUGCAUGAUAAUGAUAUAGUCGAUAAUGCUAGGAACGGCUUGAAUGAUUAUUAAACUCAUAAGUAACGAAAAUUACUUAGAGUUAUUGAAUUGGAGUGUGGAAUCGAUUCACUUAUCGGUGUUCUUGAUUGAUAAACAACCCAGAACCCGUGAAGUGACAAUGACAGGGAAAGGUAGUGCUUCAUCAAAAGUUCAUAAGAUGUAGUGCAAUGGCAUGAUAUCCUCGAGAUACCAUGGGUAAUACUCGAAGGAAUAUCAAAAUAGAGGUUGAGGAGAUGCAUUGAUCUGUAGAACACAAGUGCUUUAACUUGUCUGAGAAAUGGAAUCAAAGAGGAACAAUCAUGGUCAGAGCCACGGUUGCAAAGGACCAAUUCAUAGAUACAAGAUGAGCUUGUACCAAAGAAAUAAUUAUUUUUACGAGCAGCUUCCAUGAUAAGUCCGACAUCGGGUCCAUGGGCAUGAACACAAAGGUUCAAGGUCGACUCCCACUUCUUCAAUGCAUAACCUUUCAUUCACUCCUAGUUUCGAAGAAAUUGUAGUGUAGAAGAUUUAUCUGGCGAAGUACCAGAAGAGUAAGACUCGUGAGAACUCUCGGGUUCACACAGAUUAUCGAAGGCAUAAGUUCAACCCAUCGGGGCAUUUUUUACGAAUAUAUACAACCAUCAACCAAGCAGAAGAUACGAGUUCGAAAACAGAGUAUCGAAGUCAAAGCAGAUGAUACAAUUUACCGAAGGUAUUAUGUAUCAGGGAAAAACUCACAAGAUUUUGGAUGUGAAGGACACUGUCGGAUAUCAACCCAGCACUAGAUCUGGCGAUUCACGACAGAGUUGAUGGGAGUAUCGGUAAUCAAUCAGAUUAAGAAGGGGAUGCAAAGGCAUCGACUCAUAGAAAUGUCUGAAUGAUUCGAUGCUUGGGUACAAAGGAAUUAUGAUCUCAAGACGAAGGAUCAGAAGCAAAGGCUCUGAUCAAAAGAUGAGUAAGUUGAAUAGACUUAGAGUUGCACCCGAUCAAAUCUGGAUUGGGCAAGAACCAGCUCAUAUCUGGAACGAUGUCUGAGCCGGAAAGAAAAUUUCCAAGGAUUAAUUGAUGAUCGUGUGCAUUCUCACAGAUGCUGAAUCAACAGGAUCAGAAUGUUAAUCCCAAAGGAUUUUAAAGAAUAUCGCUAGACAAAUGGAAUUAACCAGAAAGCAAGUAUGCAAGAAUUUCAAGAGCAACAGGUUGCAGAGGAUUUUCGGAAGAUCAAAUAGUAUUUCGAAGAGUUUUGUGAACCACACGAACAACUGAGGAUGAACUGAUCCUUGGUGAGUGCAAGGAAUUAUUCGAAGGGGGGGUAUUCAUGGGGCAAAGAACUGCAAGGCAGUAAGCUCAAAGGAUUCUCGAAAAUAGAGAAUUUCGGGGCAUCUUGUAAUAUCAGAAGCAACUAGGGAGGAAGGUACAAGCGGCAAAAAUGUUAUUCAAGGGGAUUACCGGUGGUCAGGAACUGCAAGGCAGUUGGUACAGGGUCUCGAGAAACAUCGAGGAGUAUCCACAGAAUCUUCUGGCGAAGCAAGCGAUCACCGAUAAUGUCGAGGCUCUCCGGGAGGAAGUGGGUACGAGAACCUAAUGUCAGAGUUUAGAAAAAUGGUUAACCCAAAUAUAAGAGAGAUCAGAGUCCUAGAGUAUAGACGAGAAAUAAAAGAUCCUAAUACCACGCAAUGACGACAUGGGCCCGUAAGCCACACAGCCAAUGUUAGUAAAAGUUUUUCAAUGACUAGACUCAACUUCGGCCAAGGAGUUGGAAAGGGGGCUACCUACAGGCAGUCAGCUCUGAUACCAACUUGUGACGCCCUCGAUUCAAUCAUACACUAAUCAUACACGCAAAUGUGUACGAUCAAGAUCAAGGACUCACGGGAAGAUAUCACAACACAACUCUAGACACAAAUUAAAAUUAUACAAGCUUUAUAUUACAAGCCAGGGGCCUCGAGGGCUCGAAUACAUCAGCUUGAAAACAAACGAGUCAGCGGAAGCAACAAUAUCUGAGUACAGACAUGAGUUAGACAAGUUUGCCUUAAGAAGGCUAGCACAAAACAACAACGAUCGAAAAGGCAAGGCCUCCUGCCUGGGAGCCUCCUAACUACUCUUGGUCGUCGGCGUCCGUCACGUGGUAGUAGGCACCCUCGGGGUAGCAGCCGUCGUCAAAGGUGGCAUCUGGCUCCUGGACUCCACCAUCUGGUUGCAACAACCAGAAAGAAGAAAGAAGGGGGAAAAGGGGAAGCAAAGCAACCAUGAGUACUCAUCCAAAGUACUCGCAAGCAAGGAUCUACACUACAUAUGCAACAUUAUCAAAGGAAGGCUGUAUAUGUGGACUGGGCUGCAGAAAUGCCAGAAUAGAGAGAAGGCCUAGUCCUACCGAAGACUAGCAUCUUCUGGAAACCACCAUCUUGCAGCAAACAGGAGGGAGUAGAGUAGCAUAAGGUAAAGUAGUAGUGGUGUUAUCAACCUCGGCCAGAGAUCCUUUCUCGACUCCCUGCGAGAAAGAAAUCCCAGAGCCAUACUAUCCAGUUAUCAUCACAAUCCAAUUCUCAUCACCAUCCAUUUCUCAUCUCAAUCCAUUUCUCAUCAUGAGUAUCCAGUUCUAGUUGUAUCGAUCGGGAUACAACUCCAAGUGUCCGUUAUCGUAGGACAGGCUAUCGAUAGAUGUUUUCUUCCCUGCAGGGGUGCACCAACUUACCCACCACGCUCGAUUGACUCCGGCCGGACACACUUUCCAGGGUCAUGCCCGGCCUCGGCCAAACAAUACGCCGCAACCCGACCUAGACUUAACAGAGAGGUCAGCACGCCGGACUAAACCUAUGCCCCCAGGGGUCAUGGGCCAUCUCCCCGGAAACUCCUGCACGUUGCGUACGCGGCCGGUGAGCAGACCUAGCUACCUCCUUCAACAAGGCAGGCGCUUGCGCAGUCCAACCCGGCGCGCGCCACUCAGUCGCUGACGUCUAUUAAGCUUUGGCUGAUGUAUACGACGCAGAACGCCCAUACUAUGCCCACGUGAUGGUUAGUGCUAUCAGGCCAGAGGCCCCUCGGAUCAAAUAUCCAAAUCGUAGUGGAUUAGGAACGCGUGGUAACAAGCAGAGACUCACGAAAGAGGUGACCCCGUUGCCCCGUCUCGAGGACUUGCGGCAAGGGCUAAGAAUGCCCGGCCACGCCUCGUAAUUAUCUCACGGGCACCUUCCAGGUCAACCCGUCUCCACAUCACUUUCCAAGUAACAGUUGUAAAGUCCAAGUAUCCGUGUGUCCAAACAUCAAGAGGAAAACCCAAGGAAUCACCCUCGGUGGGUUCCACUCAAUGUAAUCAUCAAGGUGAACGUAGAGGAAUCACCCUCGAGGUUCACACUUGAGGGGUUGCACGACAGAGUCGUAUCGGAAGUGGUUAAAGAGGAAAUCACCCUCGGUGACCACGACCGAAUAGCUACACUACAGGGUUAAAAUCAGAAGUGUUGUAGAGGUCUCACCCUCGGCACUCGAUAGUAUCCCAGUAGUGUCGAGCAACUAAGGGGAAAGUGAUGUGCGGUGCCGGGGCCUAGUCUUCGAUCCCGGUGAUCGGGUCUUCAAUGAUGAAACAGGGGCAACAAGGACAAGGUGGGGGUCACUGAUGGAUCACUAACCAACCUAUACUAAGCAGUUUAGGAUAAGCGGUAAGGUACAAUAGCAGAUACAAAAGCAGGCUAUGCAUCAGAAUAGGUGCAAACAAUAACAGUAGCAAAAUCUAAUGCAAGCAUGAGAGAAUGGAAUGGGCGAUAUCGGGAUGAUCAAAGGGGGGGCUUGCCUGGUUGAUCUGGCAAGGAGGGGUCGUUGUCGACGACGUAGUCGAUCACCGGGGCAUCAGCGGCCUCGGGGUCUACCGGAGAGAAGAGGGGGAAGAAACAGUAAAUACAUAGCAAACAGAGGUAACACUAAGCAUGACAUGACGAUACGUAGCGCUAAGCGUGCUCUAACGCGGUCCUAGACGUUAUAGGUGAAGGGGGAAAUCAGCCGGGAAGGUGUUCCCGGUUCCGGACCUGUGUCAGACAGAUGACCGGAGGGGGAAAGUUCCAUGUUCAGCAUGCUAGGGGCAUGUGACAGAUGAACGGACCGCAUAUUCGGAUUCGUUGGAUUUUUCUGAGCAACUUUCAUAUAGAAAACAUUUUCAUCGGAGUUACGGUUUAUUUUCUACGAAUCUCUAAAGAUUAUAACAUAUUCUGAAAUUAAUUUAAUUCGAAAAUAAAUGUUAAAAAAAAUGCUAGACGCACCCAGCACAGUGUACAAAAAGUGUACCAGUGGCUGACAGGUGGGCCAGGGAGUCCCAGUUGACCAGUCAACGUUUGACUGGUCAACAAGGGAUGGGCCCCCCUGUCAUAGGCUAGGUCUAGUUAAUUAAUUCUCAGUUUUAACAAAUCCAGUUAUUAGGCUAAUUAAUCCCUAGUUAAUUAAGUUGAUUAGCUUUUUAAUUAAUUAUUUGUUUUUUUUACUUCUUUUUUUUAAGAAAAAAGGGGGCCGGUGGGGCCCUGCUGGCAGUGGCCCAUCUGGCCACUGGAGCGGGCGGUUAAUGGAGCGGGCGCGAGCGCUGGGGCGCCAGCUCGCUUGGGCACGCGCCCAGGGGAGAGCGCCAGGCCGCGGGGCGCUGGCAGGGUAGCCGUGGCUGCAGGGCGCCGGCCGGNNNNNNNNNNNNNNNNNNNNNNNNNNNNNNNNNNNNNNNNNNNNNNNNNNNNNNNNNNNNNNNNNNNNNNNNNNNNNNNNNNNNNNNNNNNNNNNNNNNNNNNNNNNNNNNNNNNNNNNNNNNNNNNNNNNNNNNNNNNNNNNNNNNNNNNNNNNNNNNNNNNNNNNNNNNNNNNNNNNNNNNNNNNNNNNNNNNNNNNNNNNNNNNNNNNNNNNNNNNNNNNNNNNNNNNNNNNNNNNNNNNNNNNNNNNNNNNNNNNNNNNNNNNNNNNNNNNNNNNNNNNNNNNNNNNNNNNNNNNNNNNNNNNNNNNNNNNNNNNNNNNNNNNNNNNNNNNNNNNNNNNGGCCGGAGCGGCGAGAGGGCCGGCAGGGCGCGGCGCGGUGGAGGCCACGUGGGGCGCAACGGGGCUGGAGGGCUGCAGCGCCGGGCUGAAGCGGGGUGUGCCCCGGGCGCGACGACGGCCAGCGGUGGCGGCAGGAUUAGUAGCAGCCGCAGCAAUACAGAGCAGCAGCAGGCAGUAGCGGUAGAGAGCAGCAGCCGAGCAAAACCUUAGCGGCAGCAACAAGGAGCAGCCCAGGGCACGGCCACAAGCAGUGGUAGGAGGCAGUAGCAGCAGCAAAUACGCGUACGCGGAGGCAGAGCUUCGGGGCAGCCAUGGCAAACGGACCUCGCGGCGCGGACACUACGGGCAUGGAUCGACAGGGUAAAGGCCAGGAAUCGAAGGAGGUGCUCACAGCACACUCGAGGGCGUGGUCGGGGAGGCCGGAGGUAGUCGGGAGGCGGCGAAUCGAGGCGGCGACCAUGGCGGUGCAGACGGGAAGAAGAGGACGAUGGCGACGAUGCGGCAGUUCCUGGUGUCGAUCUGUGGGCGGAGAAGAUGAGGACGAGCCCGGCGAAGCUGCUGGACUUCCAAGCGCAGCUCGAGGUGACCGGUGGCCGCGUCAAUGGCGACGGCGCUUCGGCGACUGCGUCGGGCGUGAAGAAACGGAGGGGACGAGCGAGAGAGAGCGGCUGAGAUGGAGAGGAGAGAGGGGAUU